rnacentral:tRNA from 15 species
GCGGGUGUAGUUCAAUGGUAGAACAUCAGCCUUCCAAGCUGAUUGCGUGGGUUCGAUUCCCAUCACCCGCUCCA